UACGGGGGGAGCAAGCGUUGUUCGGAUUUACUGGGCGUAAAGGGCGCGUAGGCGGCCACCGCAAGUCGACUGUGAAAUCUCCGGGCUUAACUCGGAAAGGUCAACUGAUACUGUGCGGCUAGAGUGUGCUAGGGGAGACUGGAAUUCCUGGUGAUAGCGGUGAAAUGCGCAGAUAUCAGGAGGAACACCGGUGGGCGAAGGCGGGUCUCUGGGGCAUAACUGACGCUGGAGGAGCGGAAAGCCAUGGGGAGCGAACAGG
rnacentral:rRNA from 1 species